GGGGCCUUGGCUCCCGUGGGGAGCAGCAGGAGGACACCCGAUUCCUCGAAAGUUUCCCGGAUGGCGCAGAUGCGGAAGGCCACGUCGUCGGGAAUGGGCGAGUACGAAGAAGGCCGGAGCCCUAAGGCCACAUCGGGGAUUCACCAUGAUGGGAGCAUAAUGCUGAUGAUAGUGGCAUGGCACUUUCCUGCAAGUGGCAAUCGAGUUGUCAUGAGCCUGUCAGCUCCUUUUGCAGUGGGACCCUGAGCAAAUUCUUCCUUUAAGUCUUCUUGCACCUUACUGCCC